UGGGAGCUAGCCCACUUACCUAGCCGAACCUGAUUUUUUAUCGAGUGCGUCGGCGGUGAGCGGAUGCAUGUCCGGCGGCGAGAGGUGAGCGGGCUCGUGGCCAAGCGAGCUGCUGACCGUGUCCUUGAUAGCGUCGUUAUCGGCGGGUGAACAGCAGGCUCGUGGUCGGCCGUCCGAAGCGGCGGCGUGGUGUGAUUGGCUUCUACAGAACCGACUCUGAUUGGAGUGGAAGGGGACGAACGGCCUCAUCCUCAAAUUCGGUGCGUGCUGUCGGAUCCCCUUUGCAAGCCAAGACUGAACACAAAAUUGCAUAGAUGUGGCGAUCUGUUCCGCUAGGUCCAGCUCCAUGUUGUGUGUGUCUAUGAUUCCUCAGGUCCAGCUCCAUUUUUCCUGUUCUGGAAUGCACCAGGAAUUUAUGAUUCCGUUUGGACAAAGCGAAAGCGCGCAGCCGUGGGAUGGGUCGGGACG